rnacentral:rRNA from 1 species
CAAUAGCGUAUAUUUAAGUUGUUGCAGUUAAAAAGCUCGUAGUUGGACUUUGGGUUGGGUCGGCCGGUCCGCCUUUGGUGUGCACCGGUCGUCUCGUCCCUUUUGCCGGCGACGCGCUCCUGGUCUUAAUUGGCCGGGUCGUGCCUUCGGCGUUGUUACUUUGAAGAAAUUAGAGUGCUCAAAGCAAGCCCAAGCUCUGCAUACAUUAGCAUGGGAUAACAUCACAGGAUUUCGGUCCUAUUGUGUUGGCCUUCGGGAUCGGAGUAAUGAUUAAGAGGGACAGUCGUGGGCAUUCGUAUUUCAUAGUCAGAGGUGAAAUUCUUGGAUUUAUGAAAGACAAACAACUGCGAAAGCAUUUGCCAAGGAUGUUUUCAUUAA